GUCUCAUUAGCUUAGUCGGGAAAACACCCGACUAUGAUGCGGGUAGGAUUCGGGUUCGAAUCCCGGUGACGGCG